rnacentral:rRNA from 1 species
AUACGUAGGGUGCAAGCGUUAAUCGGAAUUACUGGGCGUAAAGCGUGCGCAGGCGGUUUUGUAAGACAGUGGUGAAAUCCCCGGGCUCAACCUGGGAACUGCCUUUGUGACUGCAAGGCUAGAGUACGGCAGAGGGGGAUGGAAUUCCGCGUGUAGCAGUGAAAUGCGUAGAUAUGCGGAGGAACACCGAUGGCGAAGGCAAGCCCCUGGGCCUGUACUGACGCUCAUGCACGAAAUCGUGGGGAGCAAACAGGAUUAGAUACCCUGGUAGUCCACGCCCUAAACGAUGUCAACUGGUUGUUGGGUCUUCAUUGACGCAGUAACGAAGCUAACGCGUGAAGUUGACCGCCUGGGGAGUACGGCCGCAAGGUUGAAACUUAAAGGAAUUGACGGGG